UAGUACGUCGUUUGAAUUUCGUUUUUAUGUAAAUUGUUUCUCAAUGUCAGUAUUGCGUCAAAUAGAAAUACCACUAAUAUUUUUACUUUAAUUUUAUUAAGUAAGUAAAAUGGAUGAAGUGAUACAAUCGGAAGAGUAACCGGAAUUUAUUCCCUGGCAUGGAGGAAUUGUGAUGGUUUUAAGAAAAUACAGAUACCACCAACAUAAAAAGUAUACAGACAAUUUGAGUAUAUGGCGAUGUUCAAAUUACAAAAAGACAAAAUGUUCUGGAACUUUACUAUUUCAGAGCGCACGAAACAAGGCUGCGGGGGUAUCACGCACUACUUUUAAAGAAAUUCAUGAAGUUGAGGUACCGGUACAAUUCCAUAAUUUUAUAUUAGCGGAUUUUACAGACGAAAACACACGUAUAUUAGUUUUCAGUUUUGAAGAAUCACGGCAUUUAAUUUCAACAAUUCAUGAAUACUUUGGAGACGGUACAUUCAUGAGUUGUCCAGCUCCAUUUGCACAAUUGUAUAUUAUUCACAAAAAAAGUAGAAAAAGCAAAUGUGAGGCCAUUAAUUUACGCUUUAAUGUCUAACCGAAAAGAAGAAAGUUAUUACAUUCUAUUCAAUCUAAUUAGGUCGCAAUUACCACUAUGGAGCCCCAGAAAGUUUCAUUGCGAUUAUGAAACAGGGAUGAUGAACGCUGUAUUGAAGUGUUUCCCCGAAAUCUUGCUGAGAGAUUGUUACUAUCAUUGGACACGUGCUAUUAUAAAGAAAGCCAAAUCCCUAAAGUGUACCAAUUCCAAGCCUAGAAACAGAAUUGUGGGCUUGACAGCCGCGUUGCCACUUAUUCCGGCAGAGCAUACUCUGCAUGGUUUAAAAUACAUUAAAGCGGAAUGUGCUGGCAACGACGACGACAAUUUGUCAAAAUUUAUUAAAUAUAUAGAAAAUUAUUGGAUGAAAGUGCAUUCCCCACUUGUGUUCAGCGUUUUCGGGGAACGUUAUCGUACGACGAAUGUUGCCGAAAGUUUUCAUUCUCGAUUAAACAAACAGUUAACUAACAAGGAAAUCAGCGUAGGUCAUGCGUUAGAUAAACUUAGGUUUUAAGAUAUGGAUAAGUCUCCGCCCACUCUUAUUUCAUUGAAAUAUAUAUUUUCUGGCAGUUGUUUUUCCCUCUAUUGAACCUAUUAUAUUUGGGUGGUUUCACGAUAUAAAAGAAUAGUACCUUUUGCACCCCGGUGGUGCCAUGGGCACGCGGAAUAAUACCCUUGACACUACCGGUGGUGCCAUCGGGUAGUGUCAAGGGUCCGCGGGGGAUUUAAUGUACGGUUUGCCAAGAACACAAAGAGAAUCACAAUCAAGGUGGUCAUAUAUGUAUAUGUCUUGAAUGCGAUUGUGAUGGUUGCAAGGAAUACCAAAAUCAUGUUCUUAACAAAAAUGAAUCCCGUAAAUGCUUAGAGACGACCUAAAAAGUGAAAAUACUACUACGAAAGUUGUUACUGUAGAUAUGCAAAAAGCUAUUUGCAUGCCUAAACUAACCAUAAAGGAUUAUUAUUUUUCAAGAAAGUUAGUUCUAUUUAAUGAAACGUUUGUCUCACCAGGAAAAGACGAACAGGCAUACUGCGUUUUGUGGCAUGAAGGCGAAGCAGGCAGAAAAUAUAGCGUCGGCGUAUGUAUACUUUGUGUUAAAUAAUGCUCGCGACUAUAAGAAUUUAAUUUUAUAUUGUGACAACUGUACUGCACAAAAUAAAAAUAGAAUUCUCUUUUCGGCUAUGAUCAGAUUAAUUAACUCAUCUUCACUUGUAGCUACAGAAAACAUAAGGUUCGUGUAUUUUGAACCAGGGCACACUUACCUACAUGGCGGCUGACACAGUUCAUGCUUGCAUAGCGAACAAAUUUUCAAGAGUAAAAGAAAUGUACGAUCUAACAGAUUAUAAAGAGAAAAUAAAUGAGUCAAGAAAAAAUAUGACAGUAUAGACUAUUAAUCACCAAAACAUGAUUUUGUUUCGAGACGAAAUAUUAAAAACGUUUCCAAGGGCGUAUACAGGGUGUUAGUGACAUCGUAACGAAAACUUUGAGGGAUGAUUCAGGCCAUAAUUCUGAGUUGAUAUCAAGUGGAAUUUUCCGUCGCAAAAGUAUGGAACGGAAAAUAAUUUAAAUAAGCUCUAAAAUUUUCAUGACUUCUCCGACAGGAAAUUCCACUUGAUAUCGACUCAGAAUCAUGAUCCGAAUCAUCCCCUUCAGUAUUCGUUACAGGGUCACUAACACCCAUACCUACUUGUAUGGCUACUGUAUGUACUUGUAUGGGGUGUAAGUGACAUCGUAACGAAUACUGAGAGGGAUGAUUCAGCUGAUUAUUCUGAGUUAAUAUCAAGUGGAAUUUUCGAUCGCAAAAGUAUAGAAUUGAAAAUAAUUAAAAAAAACUAAAAAAAUAACAUGAAUUUUGCGACGGAAAAUUCCACUUGAUAUUAACUCAGAAUCAUGGUCUGAAUCAUCCCUCUCAGUAUUCGUUACGAUGUCACUAACACCCUGUAUAUAACAUACAAGCCCAGAAGAUGGUUGAAUUUCGGAAAGGUUCAACAAGUAUUUUUGCCAAAAAUUCAUAUGUGGCGAAUGAUUUUAAGGAGAUAAAAAUUAUGAGAAAAAAUUCAUUGAUUCUUGAAGGCGGUACCGAUUUUAUCAGUAAUAUUCCCCAUGAAGAACACCCUCGAGGAAUAAGUGCAAUAAAGAAACGAGAACUAUUGAAACUAUGCGAUUCUAUACCAAAUACUCGCAGGUUUUUUUACCAAGAUCUUUGUGUUAAUGAAAACAUUUGUGAUCUUGACGUUGUAAUUGAUGAUUAAGACUACUUAUAAAAUUGUUGGAAUAUAUGUUUGUCUGUUUCUUGUUUAAUCAUGAAAGUUUAUAAUUAAGUAUAUCUACAUAAUUGUGAUCUCUUUUUAUUUAAUAUUCAUUUUGUGUUUUUUUAAUUGGAGCAGAUGUGCUAUUUUCAUUUUAUUUGGGUUUGUAAUUUAAUAACAAAUAAUUUUCUAGCUGGAUAUUCUAUCAUCUUAUUCUCUUUUUUUACAGAAUUUGAGUCUUUAAUUAUUUGUAGUAGGUUAAUUUUGCUUUUAAGGAGUUCCUUAUUUUUAUUUCAAUAAAAAAUGUUAUUAAUAAUUUAUGUUUGGAUCAAAGUACGUGAGAGAUCGUUGACAGGGUCAAUGAAAGCAGUGCGAAAGCGGGCCUGUCCAUUAAUAUUAAGAAGACAAAGUUUAUGUUAAUAUCCCCUAACACAAAUCUGAAUCCAAGAAUAACAGUGGACAGAAAGGAUAUAGAGCGUGUUCGACAAUACAAGUAUCUUGGGGCUUGGGUAAAUGAAGAAUGGGACUCUGAGCAGGAGAUAAAAACUCGGAUUGAAAUUGCCCGUGCCUCCUUCACUAAGAUGAAAAAGGUGCUAUGCUGUCGUCAGCUGAACAUAAAACUACGUGUCCGAAUCUUAUGCUGUUACAUAUGGCCCGUGGUGCUUUACGGUUGUGAAGCAUGGACAAUUAAGGAAGACACCAGACGGCGUCUCGAUGCCUUCGAGAUGUGGUGCUACCGUCGCAUGCUGCGACUAAGCUGGACCCAGAAAGUCACCAAUAUGAGGGUUCUCCAACGCGUCGGUAUGUCCCGGAAAUUGAUGCAAACUGUCAAAAAACGGAAAGUAGCGUAUU